CGUUCUCUCACCAAAUUCUGGCGAACGUCAUAUUAGAGGACAACAACUCUUUCACCAAAUUCGGGCGUACGUCAUAUCAGAGGACAACCGUUCUUUCACCAAAUAGUAGUGCUUCUUCUGAUUAUCCAAUGUCCCGGUAAGGUGUUUAAUAUUCUUACAUCAUCAUACUAUCUAUAUUCGCGUGUAACAAGAUACCGUAAUCGUCGUAAAUCUAAAUUGUCG